rnacentral:ncRNA from 1 species
AGAUUGAAAGGGCAAACCCCGCGAAAGCGGGCGACGCAAAACCACGGGUCUACGUGCGGCGCACUGCGCUUCAUAUGACAGCCGGGUUGCCAGC